GAGUCUGCUGGAUUACGAUCAGCUCCAUCAGAAGUCUCAGAACCUGUUUGCGGCUGGGGAGGAGACUGCAGAUGGUGUUGGAGUUUGGACAGCACCGGAGGAGGAAUCUGGAGAUGUGUCUUAGCCUGACUCUGACACUUGCUCUCAGUGGGUUUUUGAUGAAGCCACACUUCCUCUGUGAACUUUCUUUUUCUCAUCCAUGAAACUGGGGAUGGUAACUAACAUGAUCCCUAAGACCUGAUGGAUGCAGAAGAGUCUGGAACUUGCCUGGGCUAAGCGGGGGAGAGGAGAGCCCAUAAAGACCCAGGUUGACUGUGCUCAGCUGGGCAGUCCUUCUGCUGCACGUCUGCUGGAACUGCAGCCAUCUAGAAGUCGACCAAGUCUGGCCAUUGGCAGGGACAGCUGGAAGGCUGGGCUCAGGCGAGAUGGCUGGAUCUCUUUCCUCUCCUUGUAAUCUCAAGGCAUCUCCUUCUCCAUGUGGCUUCUCCGCAGUCUAGACAGCAGGAUAGCUGGACUUAUUUCGUGGGGGCUUUCUUCCCUAAAGUGCAAAGCAGAAGUUUUCAGGCCUUAAUAAUUGGCCCAGAAUCAGCAUAUUUUCUCUUCUGCCACAUCCUAUUUAUUAAAAUGAGUCACAAGGCAAGUCCAGAUUCAAUGUGGGAGGAGACUACACAGGGCAUGAAUACAGGGACGCAUGGUUCAUUGGUGGGGGGGUAAUCUUUGGAAACCAAUUCAACAUUGAUCAAUAAAUGUUUAUAUUACUGGAACUCCAAGUAUGCUCCACUCCCUUAUCCCUUUUUAAAAAAUAUCAUCUUGUGUUGGAACAAGUAUUUGUCGACUAAAGUUAUUUUGGAAUCAUGUGGUCACCACCCUAACCAUAGUCCUGUAGGACAGGAGUCAUGUAUCUGUUUCUCCUCUAUCACCCCUCAGGCCUAGAACAGGGCUCUGCAUACAGCAGGUAUGAAAUAAAGGCUGCAUAUUUUGUUGGAUGUUAA